GCCUGGGUGGCUGAGUCAGUUAAGUGUCUGAUUUCGGCUCAGGUCAUGAUCUCAUGGUUUGUGGGUUCGAGCCCUGCGUCAGGCU
rnacentral:tRNA from 1 species